CAGCAUCCGCGGGAAUACAGAGGGUGCGAGCGUUAAUCGGAUUUACUGGGCGUAAAGCGUGCGUAGGCGGCUUCUUAAGUCGGAUGUGAAAUCCCUGAGCUUAACUUAGGAAUUGCAUUCGAUACUGGGAAGCUAGAGUAUGGGAGAGGAUGGUAGAAUUCCAGGUGUAGCGGUGAAAUGCGUAGAGAUCUGGAGGAAUACCGAUGGCGAAGGCAGCCAUCUGGCCUAAUACUGACGCUGAGGUACGAAAGCAUGGGGAGCAAACAGGAUUAGAUACCCCCGUAGUCCCUGUCUCUUAUAC
rnacentral:rRNA from 1 species